GUUCUUAUAAUAUAAGUGUAAUAUAUGACACCUUCAAAGUCAACCUGUGUUUCAAACUCUAAGAAUG
rnacentral:tRNA from 1 species